rnacentral:rRNA from 1 species
AGUGAACGCUGGCGGUAGGCCUAACACAUGCAAGUCGAACGGCAGCACAGUAAGAGCUUGCUCUUACGGGUGGCGAGUGGCGGACGGGUGAGGAAUACAUCGGAAUCUACUUUUUCGUGGGGGAUAACGUAGGGAAACUUACGCUAAUACCGCAUACGACCUACGGGUGAAAGCAGGGGAUCUUCGUACCUUGCGCGAUUGAAUGAGCCGAUGUCGGAUUAGCUAGUUGGCGGGGUAAAGGCCCACCAAGGCGACGAUCCGUAGCUGGUCUGAGAGGAUGAGCAGCCACACUGGAACUGAGACACGGUCCAGACUCCUACGGGAGGCAGCAGUGGGGAAUAUUGGACAAUGGGCGCAAGCCUGAUCCAGCCAUACCGCGUGGGUGAAGAAGGACUUCGGGUUGUAAAGCCCUUUUGUUGGGAAAGAAAAGCAGCAGGUUAAUAACCCGCUGUUCUGACGGUACCCAAAGAAUAAGCACCGGCUAACUUCGUG